rnacentral:tRNA from 1 species
GCACUCGUGGUGGAACGGUAGACACGCAACGUUGAGGUCGUUGUGCCUUCGGGUGUGGGAGUUCAAAUCUCCCCGAGUGCA